rnacentral:rRNA from 1 species
UACGUGAGGUGCGAGCGUUGUCCGGAAUUAUUGGGCGUAAAGAGCUUGUAGGCGGUUUGUCGCGUCUGCUGUGAAAAUCCGGGGCUCAACCCCGGACUUGCAGUGGGUACGGGCAGACUAGAGUGUGGUAGGGGAGACUGGAAUUCCUGGUGUAGCGGUGGAAUGCGCGGAUAUCAGGAGGAACGACCAAUAGCGAAGGCAGCUCGCUGGGACGUCACUGACACUGAGGCGCGAAAGCGUGGGGAGCGAACAGG